rnacentral:tRNA from 1 species
GGGAAUAUAGCUUAGUGGUAGAGCACUUGCCUAGCAAGUGGAGACCCUGGCUUCAAUCCCUAGUACCACCA